rnacentral:lncRNA from 1 species
CCGCGUCAAUCCCUGGACAUGGUACGUUGUUGGUGCUUCUGACCACCAUUCCUCAAGUGUUCUGCUAGUGUCGAAAUACCGCUUGUGUCUGCUGAGUUAUAUGUGUUUCAGAAGCUAGUCGUAUUAUUAGAUUCUCAAUUUCUCAUUCCACUCCAUUCUCCAUUGGACUUGUGCACAUUUUUUGGAGAUGACAGUAAUAUUAGUUCCUUAAUUUCUCAGUCAACUCCAAACAGUUUCUGUAGCUAGUAAUUUGGUGAUUCACCGCCAACUCUGGUGGUAUGUAAAAACAGCUGACAUUAUAAUUGACAUCUGCACUUGAAACCAUUUUCAAUCUUUCACAGCUAAAGCAAGAUAGUCACAUGUGUAUACGUUGUCCAUGCUUGUGAAACUUAAAUCAUACUCCCUCCGUCCCAAAAUUCUUGUCUUACAUUUGUCUAAAUACAGAUGUAUCAAGUCACGUCUUAGUAUUAGAUACAUCCGUAUCUAGACAAAUCUAAGACAAGAAUUUUGGGACGGAGGGAGUAUUACUAUACUAAAACGUGACUUGAUACAUCCGUAUUUAGACAAAUCUAAGACAAGAAUUUUGGGAUGGAGAGUGUACUAAGAGAAACACCUAAAUGUUCUUGCAAAAGAAAAAGGAACACAUCUAAAUGAAGAUAAAUUUUACAAAGAUUUGUCCCUAAAGAAGCACGUAAAGCUCAAAAUGUCAUCUGUUAGGCUCUGUACAAAGUACAAAACAAAAUCUUAUGUUUAUCAAAGUAGUAGUCCCACUGAAACUAUAAACUUACAAGUACACAAGAUGUUUACAAGAUUAUCUAUCUUGUGUUGUUCAUUGUAUCAUGACUGGUCUUUCCAUCUGUGUUCAGCGUCUAUACUGGCCAGGCAAGAGACUACAUCCAUGAUUGUUGGCCUCAUGAAUUGAUUGUGGUUGACACAUUUGCAAGCGAUUUCAAGCACCUUCAGCAUUUGCUCUUCAUAUCCUGUGCCUCGAAGAAUUGGAUCCAGGACCUCAACCUGCUUUCCCUCAGACCUCAUCUCCAGCACCCAUGGGACAAGUUCUUUUGAUGUGGAUAGGACUGGAAGUGGCCGCAUUCCAGUAAGCAGCUCAAGCAAGACUACUCCGAAACUGUAGAUAUCGCCUCUCAACGUAGCAACCCAUGCCUGUCCAUACUCCGGGGGAAUGUAACCCAUCGUACCGACUAGCUCAGUUGUGACAUGAGUUUUGUUGGAAAGGAUCAAUCUGGCUAGCCCAAAAUCUGCAACAUAAGCUUUAAAUUCUUUGUCCAGUAGGAUAUUACUGGAUUUGAUGUCUCGGUGGACAAUUUGAGGGUUGCAGACUUCAUGGAUAUAAGAAAGUCCCAGGCUUGCUCCUUGUGCGAUUUUGAGCCGAGUUGGCCAGUCAAAACAUGAGCUAACAUCAUCAUCCCUGUUAUGAAGCCAAUCAUCUAGGCUGCCAUUCUCCAUGUAGGAAUAUAUGAGGAGCCUUGAGUUUCCCUGGAUGCAGUAACCCCAUAGUGGUACAAGAUUUUGAUGCUGUGUCAUGGAGAGUGCAUCAACCUCUGCCCUGAACUCCCUUUCCAUCAGACACAUUUCAUCGUGGAGCUUUUUAAUUGCCAGCUUGGAGCCACCAGGUAGUUCUGCCUUGUAGACUAAUCCAUAACCUCCGCACCCAACAAUGUUCUCCUUGUCAAAGUUGUUCGUGGCUUUCAAAAUGUCACUGAAUUUGAGCUUGUUUUCUUCUCCAUUGCCUUGUGGCAUCCACAUCACCACUAAUGUUUUCUCUGAACUGGAGUAGAAUGAAGAUGCAUCAACGUCUCCAUUAUCCCCCCUUUGAUUUGUUGCUGUAACACCCUUCAUCCUGAUUGAGACAAAGAGACGCCCCAGCAACAAAAGAAUAGCAACGCCUCCAAAGAACACACCAAAAGCAAUCCCAAAAAAGGCCUUCUUAUUUUGUUGUUUUGGGGAGAUUAGAGGGGUUGAAGCUGAACCACAUUUAUGAGCGAGUACAGAACCACAGAGCUUUGGAUUCCCGUCGAAGCUAGAAUUCUGAAAUGUAUUAAACUGCCCCCCAGAUGGAAUAGGCCCUUUGAGGUCAUUGUUAGAAAUGUUGAAUGCUGAAAGAAAGUGCAGGCUGUUUAAUGCAGCUGGGAUUUCACCUGUCAGAUUGUUGGCCGACAAGUCCAACACCUGCAGUUUUGUGAGAUUACAUAUUGAUUGUGGGAUGUGUCCCGUCAAGUGGUUGAAGCUGAAAUUGAGUGAAAGAAGGGCUUUCAUCUGACCGAUCUCCAGGGGGAUCACACCAGUGAAUUUGUUCUUGCUUAGAUCCAGGACUUUAGGCAAAGCAGUGGGUACACGGUAUUGUCGUGAUGGACUACUAUAAACAGGUAGCUCAAAUACCCUUGGGUCUAAAUGGGCUUUACUCUUCUCUGACUUCAGCAUUGGCAUAUCCAUAAUUGCUGUUGGAAUCCUCCCUGUGAAGCUAUUGUUUGAUAUGUCCAGAUAGAACAGGUUGCUUAGGGUUUUGAUCCAGACUGGUAUUGAUCCAUUGAGUCGAUUGUCAGCCAAUACUAAUAUUUGUAAAUUUCCUAGCUUUGAUAUCCAGUGAGGUAUUUGUCCAGACAAUUCGCAUCCUCCGAUACCCAAAACCUGAAGAUUCUCAAAACCAUCAAUUUUGUCAUCCUUUGGCAUGAUCUCUCCCCUGAAGUUGAGUGCAAUAAGCAGGGUGGUGAGGUUCUUGCAUCUCUUAAGGAUGUGAAGUGCAUUUGUGAUAUUUUUGAAAGAAUUGUCAGUAAGUGACAUGAAGGUGAGGUACUUCAGAUUGCCUAUUUGUGGAGAAAGCUGCCCAGAUAAAUUAUUGCCAGCUAACCGCAGUGCUGUCAGAUUGCUGCAAGAGUAUAAGCUUUCUGGAACUUUGCCGCUGAAGUUGUUCAAGAAAACAUCUAAUGUUCUUAGAUUGGGAAGGAGGGAGAAAUUGACCUUUGUAAGUUCUCCACUGAAAUUAUUGCUCUUGAGGUCAAUUGUUAUCAGAUUUGUGCAGUUGCUCAGAGCAGAUGGCAGCUCCCCUGACAUGUUGUUGUUGUCCAAACGGAGCUCCUCCAAUUUCUUGAGCUGUCCUAUAGAAACUGGAAUCUUGCCGCUGAAGCUGUUCCUUCCAAGAUCAAGGGUUACAAGAUUUCUGAGGUUGGUUAUAUCUGUACCAUCGAUAGCUCCAUGUAAAUCAUUGUUAGGAAAUGACAGGUACUCCAAUGAUGUUGCGUUGAAGAGUUCAUUUGGGAUUACUCCAUUGAGGUUGUUGUAUCCAGCCCCGAGCUCUCUCAGCCUGGAGCAAUUACCAAGACUUGGGGGGAUGCUACCACUGAAUUCGUUGAAACACAAUCCAAGCACAGUGAGGGAUGGUGAGGUACUACAGAGUUGAGUUGGCAUCUGCCCAGUAAAGCUGUUAUUGCUGGCAUUGAGUGUGACCAGUUUCUCCAUUACUUUCCAUGUGGUGGAUGGAAAGUGUCCUGCAAAUAAGUUGCUUGAGAUGUUCAGUACCUGCAGAGGCCGGGAGGGGGUUGAAGAGGGCAGCUCGUGGAGUGUUCCGUUGAGCUGGUUAAAGCUGACAUCAAGUAUGGUGAUGCUGCUGGACGACACCAAUUCCAGCGGUAGGCCACCGGACAGCGAGUUGCACGACAGGUUGAGGCGCAAGAGGCUGGUGAGGUUGCCAAGGAACGGCGAGAUGGACCCCUCGAGGCCUCGAGAAGCCAGUGAAACAUCAGUGACCGCCCUAUCGGGACUCCUGCAGGUGAUCCCUUCCCACUUGCAGCAAUCCGUGUCGUUCUGCCAUGAAGCAGCGAGGCCACCGUCUUGCGAGAGCUCGGCGAGGAACUGGAGAAGGGGGCCCCUCUCAUGCUCCGUGCAGGAGCUGGUGAGAGAGGACAAGGAGAUCAGCAGCACAAGGGAAAGGGCAAAUGAAGGCAUGUGUGUCUUGUUUAAAAACUGGAGUGUCUGCAUGGUUUUCUGGUGAAACUAGUCUGAAAAUCUGAGCAUCAAUGGUUGUCUAAUCAUUGAAGAGCUUGACGGUAAAGAAGAAGCUCCCAUUUUGUUGUGCUCCUUGCAGUCGUAGUUAGCACAAAGGAAAAACGGUUGGUUCAGACUCUGACCACUAUACUGAAUACUAGUAUUUCUGACUUUUGUAGCCGUCUACUAUUUCUCUGACACUAAACGGUUGGUGCAAAAGCUUUCUUUUGUAGCCGUCUACUAUUUCUGACUCAAUCCGUAUAGAAUUUUUACCACGUGCCAUAAUUAUUUCGCUGAUCACUUCUUGAUGCACCCUUUUGUGACCAGGAAACGCCACGCAUUCAAAAAAGAAACAGUUGGUGGAGAUUUGCAGAUAUCCGAAGGGCGAGAUAGUUCAUGGGGAGAUCAUACCGAAAGGUGGGCGUGAUCGGGAGGAAUCAUCUGCGUCUCGGUCAGCCUGUGGCGGGGCGGGCGAUCUUUGGUCUCUUCCAUCCUCUUGACCUUAUCACACGUGCUUUGUCUGAUGGAUACAUCUGCUUGUGUUCUCCGUCCUCCUGGCUCCACUGGCACACUAUUGUGGACCAUGGAUUGUGACGCUCUGCGGCCCAUUAAUUGAACUCUGAAGCCGUUCAAACUUGACAGUAAACUGGGGUGGCGUGUGAGGCUUGGCAAUGGCCCUUGGUUCGGAUGCUUGCGCACGACGGUGACGACGCCUCGCAUGGCGAUGCGGCGACGGCGAGCUUGAGCAGCUGGCGCUGGAGCUAGAGGCAGAGAGGCUGGUGUUGUGCUGGGUGACAUUGCAGGGCGGUCUCUGCCGGGGGCAAGCCGCCGGCGCUACCGCCGGAGGCGAAUAAGCCGCUGCUUGGAUUGUUUUAUUGUGCAGAUACUGGGGUAGACAGGAGCAGGUGAGAAAUAGUCUUUCCACCACGAUGUAGCAUAUCCGACAUUUCUCCCGCGAUUGUUUGUCCGACGCCUUGGCUUGGAGCCACCAUGAGUAGAGCAUUCACCUGCUCAUGCCCCUCGCGGUCUGCGAAUGACAGCAAGAAUGAGUUCGUCCUUGCUAGAUGAAGAAGGCGUCGAAUUCAU